rnacentral:lncRNA from 10 species
GCGGCGGCGGGCAGCGGACGGGCGGACUGACGGGCGCCUCCACCUUGCUCCCUCCCUGGCUGCCGGCUUCCUUUUGUCUUUCUGGGCGGCGAUGAGCGCAGGGCCGGCGCAGCAGCUGCGGGCGCACGGAGGCCCGCGCUGCUAGUCACUCCUCCCGGCCUCGGCGCGCUUGUCCCGGGCAGCGGCCCGGGCCCGCUGCAGCCGCCGCCGGCGCCGAACUUGGGCUCGGGAAGCCGGCGGACCGCGUCCUGCGCCGGAGCAGGGGCAUGGUCUAGUGGCCCAGUCAGGACGCGGAAACACUCCCUGGAGGUUCUGACCCACUCCCUCUCAGCCUCCGCCUGGUCUCUGGUGUAGUCGCCGCCGCCAGCCGCCAUGGGCAAACAGAACAGCAAGCUGCGGCCCGAGGUGCUGCAGGACCUGCGGG